GAUUUAUUAACCAUUUUUUAGAUGUUGGUGCUUAAGGGACUGUAUAGUUGGUAGGUUUGUUACUUUUUUUUAGUAACAACUUUCCUUUUCUUGGCUCUUUCGUCUGACGUUCUGUAUAAUAUGGAUACCUCUGUGUCUGUUGUUUCGCACAAGUCAACUUGCAUUCUAAUAUCGGAUGUAAUAUGAUUAAUUUUUUGUUGUACAUAGUUAUUUCCUAUAAUUGGUUGUAUGUUUUGCUUUCUUUCAAUUUGGAUUUCCUUGCUGCAUGGAAAGUAUACGCUAGCUAUAGUAUCUAUGCAUGUGAAUUAUCGUAAUUAUGUACUGUAUGUUAAAAAUUUUGAAGUAUGAACAAAAUACGUCUGCACUUUUUGGAGGAUGAUACCAAACUGGAUCAUUCUGUUCAGUAUGAAUAUGUUUGUGUGAAUAUUUAUAUACAUACUUACAGAUUUUGAGGAACUGAGUUGGAAAAGAGUGAGUUUCUCAAAUGUUUGUGAAACUACACAAGUUUCGUUAUUUUAUUAAAAAAAGUUCACUUUCUAAGUAUCGCUAUAUAUUUGUAAACUUAUAAUUACAUCGUUUCGUGAAAGAGAUGUUUUAUUUGCUUAUGUUUCUUGGAAUUAUAUAAACAUUUUAAUUAUUAGCCAUUAUGAGAAAAUUGAUUUAUUUUUGUAAUAUUGAUAAAUACUUAAAGUGAAUAUCAGCAUUAAUUAUAUAAACAUGUAUACAUAUGCGUGUAUAGGUUUUUGUGCAUCCAGAUUAAUAUCCAAAAAAAGCGAAAAUAUACUCAAUUUAUUUAUCUAGCGUUUGUUUCAAGAUUAUUAUACUUCUUCCUAUGUACGUGUGAGUAUUUGAAAUUAAUAUUAUUACUUAUAUAAUGUGCGUGAAAUUUGCGUGGGUAUGUUUUUAUCACAUUUAUAAAUAAAUAAGAGAAAAGAAUUUUUAUAAUGGCAUUAUUUUAUACUAUUAUUAUACUAUUAUUAUACUUGAAAAAUCGUUUACGUUUUCCUUAAGGUACACAAAAGCAAUUUUCUUAUUAAUUAAAAGCAGUUCUACGCAAUUUUCUCUAGCUACUACUAACAUUUUCUUCUAGUGCAAGAUAUAUAACAGGAGGCAGUGAAAGAUUCGAUCUCCUAAUAUGUGAAUGAGCGUCGGUGCCGUUUGUUCGCUAUGAUAGAAAUGCAUCAUAAUCAUUUAUCAGGAAUCAGCAAGAUGUGCAUGUCUUAUGUUGCUCCAGGGGUAUCUAAUGAGGUUUAUCGUGGGUGUGUGGUAGAGUAAAUGGAUCCUUUCGUAUUUUCGGGAUUUGGUUGCUAGCUUACUCGUGACUUGGGGAAUUCCGUUAGUGAAUACUCGUCGUUUAAUAAUAUUUAGCGUGUAGUUCUCAAAGAAGAUUUUGCUAAAGCGAUUGCAAGAGAUUUUAUCGGUUAUGAGUCCAACACUACCCUAGUUCUUUCUUAUCGAAUCGGUGUAUAUUGUGUGUCUGUCCGUGUGUAUGUAUUCACAAUUAGGUGCAAAAAGGAAAGAAGAUAACAUUCAUAUUGAAACUAUAUAGUAUCAUUUUGAAAUUUUAGUAUCAUUUCUUUAUCAACCACUAUAAGUACUUAAUCAAAUUAAUAAUAAUAUUAAUUUUAACUCCUGCGUGUUUCUUUCUAAUAGGUGUAUUUACAAAUACUUAUGUUAACCAAAAUAAGAACAAAAAUAUUUUAAAUAAAAUUAUAUUUUUAAAUAGGAUUAUUUCGAAAAUUAUUAUAAAUUUUCUUGAUCGAUUAUUUAUUUCUAAUUAUUAUUUUAAAAGUUAAAUAAGUAUGCAUAUACAUACUCGCAUAUGUAUCUUUCUCUCUUUCCUUCUUUUUCUCUAUCUCUUCUUUUUUCUAUCUCUUUCAUUCUCUUCUUCUCUUCUUUUCUUCUUUCUCCAAUGAAUAUACGUAUAUCUUCAAAAAGAUUAAAGAAAAUAUUUCAAAUUGAAUAAUCUAAUGUUCUUUUAUAAAUUUUUAUUUCUCUGUGAAAGUUUUUUAUUAAUUAAGCAAUUAAUAUUGCAAUUUCGGAAUACUGUUUUACUCCAUGUGACUUAACAUAAUAAAAAUAGUAGAUGUAAUGAAUGGUAAAUAGUGUUUAGGGAUGUACGUUUAUGAAAUAAUAAAGAUCGAAAUAAUAAAUGUGAUUUGAAAGAAGAAAACAAGUAUCUUUGGAAAUAUCGGUAGCAAGAAAGAUGAUGAUGAUAGUAUAAAAAGUGAUGAAAAUUAAUUGUCAAUUGUUGAAGAAAGCUCAACACAGUUAAUUGCACAGACUUAUUGCGUAAAGGGAUAUUGUGUUGCUGCCUUGCAUGGGCAUGUAAACAGUAUUUUAUUAAUACUAUUUACAGCUAUGUAAAAAGUUGCCUUCUUAAUAACCUAUCUAGCAGUCUGUAGCGUUCGCAUAACACAUUUUUCCUAAGCGAGCUUUCGUUAGGUAAUCGCUUGCCUUGAUUUAUAAAUAAUUCCUAAGCUCAGGGAACAAUCUAUAUUCUCUGAAUACCUUCAGAGGUUGUUGUUAAGAUUGUUGUUAAGCUUGCGUACACUGCUCUUCCUUUUGGUAGUUAGAAUCUGAAUAGAGUUUUUCACCAACUGGGUUCUUUUCAAUUUUUUUUUUAUUUGAAACUUUCAAGCAAAGAAAAAUAUGAAAAAUGGUAAUUUUUUUUUAACAUCGAAUAUAUAUUUUUUUAUUUAUCGAAUAUAUAUAUAUUUUUUAAUGAACCAUUUAGUUCAGCUAUUUAUUUUCUACGAGAAAAUAUUAAAACACUUACAUAAAAAAAUCAUUAGUUUCGGAAAUAUUUUCAUCUAAAACUUGAAAACAUGACUAUCUCUACAAUAAUGACAGGUGAAACUUUAAUGAUGAAACUUUAAACGAAUGAUUUCAUAUUUUAUUGUCGGUAAUAUCAAAUAAUCAAGUGUUUAAUAAUAUCAAACGCGUUCCAUGGAAACGGUACGAAAAUUCGUUUAAUUUUAUUCGUCAUAUAGGUCUACUAUUUAACGCAUAUGCUUACUUCGGUUUAUACAAUUGGGUCACAAAUUAUUGCUUUUGAAUUAUUAUAAAUUAUGCUAUUAAAAAAAAUUUUAAAUAAAUCUCUUAAAAGAUUUUGUGAAAAUUCCUCGUUUUGGAGAGAAAUAUACAGAAAUUGUUUUCUUGUUAUUAUUAACUGGAAAGUUUAGUGCCAGAAAUAGUAAUUUGAUGUUAGCUGCAAUGGCAAUACCAAUAAUAAGCUAUCAAAAUUGCGUAAUUGAUAUAGACGAUACGUUUGAUAAGGGCUCAAAUAAUUUAAACUGGGGUUGAAAUAGUAAUGACAAAUAUAAUUCGAACAGUUGUUUAAUUAACGUCAUUGAUACGAGACUAAUAUAAAAUCACAAAUAUAUAUGUAAUAUCGAGAAUUUUAGUCGAUCCUUUGUCGUGAAAUGUGAGUGAGUCUGUGUGCAUAAGUGUAUCGUCCCUUGUUUCGAUCCACUUUCCAAGGCUUUAUUUAGAGUGAAUGAAUGUAUGUGUGUACGUAUGCUUGUAGAGCCCAAGUGAGGCUUGGAUUUACAAAGAAAAGGAUAAAAGGGAAGGCGAACGUGAUGAUUGAAACAGGACAGCUUUAAGAAAGACGAAGCAACUAAGACGCGACUUAAAACGUUUUUCAUUUUUCUGUCUAGUUUUUAUUAAUUUUCUUUAGUAAAUUUUUUAUUUUAUUAAAAUCACUGAUACUACAUAUAAUUCAUACUGAUCGAUUUUUAUCAUUUUUUAUUAUGUAACUAUGUGUGAUUGUAUAAGUUUAAAAUUUGUUUUUUUUGUUUUUUUCCAUUGCUAAAAAUAACUAUAAUAACAUUUAUGUUUUUAACAUAAUAACAAUAUUAACUAUAAUAACAAUUACAUUUAUGUUUCCUCCAAAGGUAUACCAAAUUUUCGAAACACGGAUUUUUAACAAAAUUGAGUUUUAAUACGUUUUAAUGUUUUUGCCAUGUUUUAACGAUUUAGGACUAUUGUGUGGCGUGAAAAAUGUAUUUUACAUUUUAUGCGAACAAUAUUCGACGUUUCGAAUCUAUUUUUGAUGUUUAGACGACAUUGUUAAAGUAUUACAUUCAUAUAAAACGAUGUUGCGUCGUGAGGACGCAACUAUAAGAGCGUGUUUAACUGCGUUUUUCGCAUCUGACUAGCAAUGGUAUUAUUCUCACGGAGAAUCUAAUCUCUGUUUCUUCUUAAUAGUCAGUGUGAUAGACCUAUUGAUCGCGGUAAAUAAGGAUGGUGGCACAAAAUACCGACCGCGGUAUUCUUGCAAAUUGAUAGAAGAAUAUAAUUAUUUUAAAGGAUCUCAUAGAGCUCGUGAAGUAGAUGCGCGAGAAAGAAUACUUUGUGAAUAGAAGUUAUAAUACUACAUUUAAAGUAAAGUAAGAGUUAUAGUUGUUGUGAAUUUCGUGUUUUGUUGUGUUACGUUACUUGUUACUUGGCGGUUUCUGAAAGGGAUAUAAUGUGCGGUAAUGUUUAGUAAGACUAUACUUUUGAUGAGUUGAAUUGAAAAGUUGUAGGUUGACUGACUUUUUGGAGUCUCUCGAUCUAUUCGCGAAAACAAUAAUGCGAUUAGAAAAGGGAAAUGGAAAGGAAAGAGUUUGAGUCAAAAUCGAAUAUGGAAAGAGAAGGAACGAUGCUUAUUGGUGGAGGAUGCGUUAGAAUAAUUUGUUGGGAAUGUUUAAACAAUUCCAUGUGUGCCAUUUUCUUCUGAUGAUAGUGUCGAUUGGCAGACACCAAAUGGGCACUUCAAAAAUAGACAUUAAUCUUUGAUUCUAAGAUAUUUAUUUGUUGCCUAGCUCGACUUAUUAUUAAAAACUACAUGCUUGACUAAAAUGCCUAAGCACGAACAAAGCUGGCAAUGUGUUUUUUAUCUAUGUAUUUUCUGAGCGAAUAUCCAACGAAUUUCUAAGGGCAGAUAUUCUAUAUAUUGAUAUAUGGCCCUUAGGAGAUAGUACUGGGACUUACUACGCACCUGUGCAUCAACAUACUGGCUCCUUGAACGGUCGCGUUUAAAACAAAAGAGAAGAAAGACAUUCAUUGGAGAUUUACUAAGAUAUAGUGUUUGAUAUGAAGUAGUGAAUUAAUGAUUUAUCGUACUAUGCGUUCAUUCAUGUAUGAUAAUUUGUGUGUAUAAUAUGUAUCUGUCUUGUAUGAAUAAUUUAUAAGCUAAUGUGUGUUGCACUUAUAAGAUAAUGAAAUUAUAUAUAAUCAAGAUAUGUCUGCAUUUAGCUGUUAUCGGUAAGCAAAGGAUAAGGGCCCUUGAUGCUGCGUUUAUAGAUCUUAAUAGCCGUUUGAACCGAGGCUAUCCGAACGAUGCCAGGAUGUGUAUCAAUGAUGCAACCUAUCGACCAGUAGUGCGUUGUCCUCCUUAAGGAGCAUGAGUGUGUCGAUCUUAAGAUCAUUUGUUCCCCCUCGAUGCCAUUUCCUCCUCGCCGUCAGCUCAUAAAAUGAUAUUCUCGUCGGACUAUGAAAAAUAAUAGGGGGAAAUGAAUCAUGCUUUCAACUGGCUUGCGCCUGCAUUGUGUCUGGGAGUCGGGGUAGAAGCUUUUCGAUGAGAGUUGGACCAGCGAAAGUUAUUCCGUUUGGAGACACUAAUGUGACCAGUGCUAACAAAUUCCAAAAGAUGAAAGACGAUUUAAAAAGGAAGACGAGCGUGCAAACGGAAGUAGCUGAGAAAUGCCAAAAAAUUAGAAAGUGACGUUAAGAAUCGCCGACGUUCUACACUUCAUGGCCUUGACGACUGUGUUAACGGUGUCUCACAAGAUCGCGCCGAUGGGAGAAACUAUUAAAAGUUUUCAUAAAACUAAAAUACGGAAUUAACACGAAAUAAAAAUGUCUGAAGAGCACUGAAAGUAUCUUUCCUUGACUACCGUGAGCGUGCUUGAUUGAUCCACAUGGACGUAACGAGAUGACCGGAAUGCUCACAUUGUUUGAACACAUAUGUAAUAUAAGCAAGAACGAGCAUGGAUUCCUAGCAAUGCCACGGGACCAGGAUUAAGCAAAAUUGGUUCCUUGACAGCAUCAUUUGCAUCACUUACAUGAUACCAUCUAUAUUGGAAACGUUUGAUACAGCUUUGUGCAACGUCCAUUGAUAACGGAUUGGUCAAUAAAUGUCAAAAAUUUCUUUAAGAGCCGGAGUGGCAUCAUUAUCUCUCUUGUAAUAAAAUAUUCAAAUGUAUCUUCUUCGUUCUUCGAUUCGACCUUGCUCGAAAUACUUGAUGGAAGCUCGCCUUUCGAUAAUCGCGCGGCACUAUUGCCAAAUUAAUUGUUUAACAUUAACAAAAUUAUAUCGGAUGUCAUUAUUCAUUAGCCGGUAGAAUGCUAGGAAACAUUUGAAUAAGGAAUGUGACGCAAAAGGGUAGAAGAACUAGGUUUCAACAAUUAUUGUCAGUUAUAAUCUUACAUAACUGGGAUGGUUGCUUUUGUACUGAUUUCUACAGUUAAUUUUAUUAUUGUUUUUUCUCGCGACUAUUAUUUAUGUAUAUAAUUUAAGAUUAGAAACUAGUGCGAUUUAAUGUUAAUAUUGUCAUCUGCCGACAAGUUGAAAGAUAUGGAAGAUAAGUGUAACUCCGGGGAAUCGCACGGUGCAAAAACCAAAGAACCGGACUUUCUUUUAACAAGCAACACUUACAAAUCUAUUAAAGAAGACAGUUAUUAAACAAGGAAGAAAAAGAAGCUAUAGGCGAAGCGUAUAUACGCACCGAAAGAAUAAAAAAAUGAUGAUGCUGUGAUAGAUGAAUAUCUAGAAAGUAGAGCGUCUUUUGUAGGAUCAAGUCUUUCUGUAACAAUUAGAGUAUCUAAGCCUCCAAAAAUUAUCGAUGUUGCCGACGGUUUGACAAACUUGGUUCUUCAAAAACGACUAGUCUACCCUAUGCAGGAUUUAUAUGUCAUUCUAUAAUCCUUCUGGAAACACCGUCCUUAAGUCUAUUGAAAAUGUUUAAGAUCAACCGCUUGUACGGCAAUGGCGUAAUAUAUAUUCGCAAUU